ACCAUGGAACUGACCGAACGAUUGCGCUUCUUGAACUCUAUCCUUGAAAUCGCUGAAGAGGUCGGAGGUUUAUCCGUUGAAAUUCCCGAUAUUCCAGAUCCUCUCCUCAAGCCGUGGCAGAUUCCUCAUCCGACGCAACCGAUUAUGGCCACCUCAAAUAUGUUUCUGCGUUGAUCCAUUUCAUCCCCGUGGGUUUUAUUUUUAUUAGUUUAAUCAAUUAAUUAGGGUUAUUAGUGUGGUAACCUUUGUCAUGUGCAUUAUUAGUGUCUGUAUUAGUGUAUGUGAUGUUAGGUGUUGUUUUGCGUCAAAAUCGUGUGGUCCAGUAUGCAUUGGAUUCCUGAGAUGAACGUGAGGUACAGGGUGUAGAUGGUUAGCAGCAGCAGUGUCCUUGUCCCUUUGCGCGACUUGUAAUCAUUUUUAAUGGUGCCUGUUUUAUUUUAUGAUUAAAAUGUUAUCGCUUUAUCUCAGCAUUAGCGGAAAGUC
rnacentral:lncRNA from 1 species